UUGUUUUUCUUCGACAUAGAAGAAAGGCACGACGUGUAUUUGUACUGAUAAAUUUAAGUUCAUUAAGCAUUGAUAAAGUUGUGCUAUUCUUUCAUACCAUAUCUAUAGAGGAACAAGUCAAACCCCUUGGACAAAGCACAGAUAUUUUUAUUGAAGCUAGAGCCUUUUCUACAAUUGCAUUGUAUUCAUUCAUUCAAAAAUGUCACUAAAACAAUUCUCAGAAACUGUUUUAAAAAUCGUUAAAUAAUGUACCUAAGAUUAGUACUGUCUUGAGUUUUUCGAGUUACAACAUUUAGACUCGCUGUUUUCUUGGACAUUGACUUUAGACAUCUCAUUUUACUAGCCAAUUGUAAUUCGUCAAAUUUGAUUUCAUAAUACAGUUACAUUAAAUUUUGAAGAAAUUAUAAACUGUGCUUCUAUGCAUUGUAAUCAGUAUCAUUGUGGAUUAGGCCUGGAGCUGCAAUGAUGAAGACUAAUCUAGUUAAAAAAUUUCAUAAGAUUAU